GGCAGAGAUGCCUUGGUGCCUUCGGGAACGCUGAGACAGGUGCUGCAUGGCUGUCGUCAGCUCGUGUUGUGAAAUGUGGGUUAAGUCCCGNAACGAGCGCAACCCUUAUCCCUUUGUUGCCAGCGAUUCGGUCGGGAACUCAAAGGAGACUGCCGGUGAUAAACCGGAGGAAGGUGGGGAUGACGUCAAGUCAUCAUGGCCCUUACGAGUAGGGCUACACACGUGCUACAAUGGCGCAUACAAAGAGAAGCGACCUCGCGAGAGCAAGCGGACCUCAUAAAGUGCGUCGUAGUCCGGAUCGGAGUCUGCAACUCGACUCCGUGAAGUCGGAAUCGCUAGUAAUCGUGGAUCAGAAUGCCACGGUGAAUACGUUCCCGGGCCUUGUACACACCGCCCGUCACACCAUGGGAGUGGGUUGCAAAAGAAGUAGGUAGCUUAACCCUCGGGAGGGCGCUUACCACUUUGUGAUUCAUGACUGGGGUGAAGUCGUAACAAGGUAGGCGUAGCGAG
rnacentral:rRNA from 1 species